rnacentral:rRNA from 1 species
AUGCACGCUGGCGGCGUGCCUCAUACAUGCAAGUCGAGCGAACGGACGAGAAGCUUGCUUCUCUGAUGUUAGCGGCGGCCGGGUGAGUAACACGUGGAUAACCUACCUAUAAGACUGGGAUAACUUCGGGAAACCGGAGCUAAUACCGGAUGAUAUUUUGAACCGCAUGGUUCAAAAGUGAAAGACGGUCUUGCUGUCACUUAUAGAUGGAUCCGCGCUGCAUUAGCUAGUUGGUAAGGUAACGGCUUACCAAGGCAACGAUGCAUAGCCGACCUGAGAGGGUGAUCGGCCACACUGGAACUGAGACACGGUCCAGACUCCUACGGGAGGCAGCAGUAGGGAAUCUUCCGCAAUGGGCGAAAGCCUGACGGAGCAACGCCGCGUGAGUGGUGAAGGUCUUCGGAUCGUAAAACUCUGUUAUUAGGGAAGAACAUAUGUGUAAGUAACUGUGCACAUCUUGACGGUACCUAAUCAGAAAGCCACGGCUAACUACGUG